UACCAGCUUCCCAGAGAGCUGUGGUAUCACCUGGACAGGCACUGUCUGCCAUUGUGAAACCACUCCUGCAAAAUACUCUUCAUAUGAUCUUAGAAGCCUUACAGAAAGUAUUUCCACAUGUGGAAGUUGGAACAAGCAAAACUUUAAAUUCAGAUGUUUCUUGCCCUUUGCUAGAAAGUGAUUUGGCAUACAGUGAUGAUGAUAUACCAUCGAUGUAUGAAAAUGGACUUUCUCAAAAACCCUUUAAUCAGGCAAAAGAAAAUUUAAAUUUCCUUCAUUUAAAUAGGUAUGUUUUCCUUGCAAAUGAAUGUUUUGUUGUGUAAAUUCCAUAAAAAAAUAAAGUGAAAUUUGUUUGACAAGGUAAAAGAUGCUAGCCAAUCAGCUUUUUACUUAGAAUAGCAGGG